GAAGGGGAAAGGUGGAAAUAUGCUUUAAGAGCACUAAUUUAUAUGGUGUAGUGACAGAGUAUUUUCGAAAAGUUAUAUGGUCUCUAUGGAUAUGAAGGGCAAAGGUGGAAAAAUAUGUUUUAAGAACAGUAAUCUAUAUGGCAUUGAAAAAGAUGUGCCUUCAUAAGAUCUUCUUAUAUUGUACUCAAUGGACCAAAAGAACCCUCGGUUAAUGGAACAUUGUUU